rnacentral:rRNA from 1 species
AUUGAACGCUGGCGGAAUGCUUUACACAUGCAAGUCGAACGGCAGCACGGGUGCUUGCACCUGGUGGCGAGUGGCGAACGGGUGAGUAAUACAUCGGAACGUACCCUGACGUGGGGGAUAACGUAGCGAAAGUUACGCUAAUACCGCAUACGUCCUGAGGGAGAAAGCAGGGGAUCGUAAGACCUUGCGCGUUAGGAGCGGCCGAUGGCGGAUUAGCUAGUUGGUAGGGUAAAGGCCUACCAAGGCGACGAUCCGUAGCGGGUCUGAGAGGACGACCCGCCACACUGGAACUGAGACACGGUCCAGACUCCUACGGGAGGCAGCAGUGGGGAAUUUUGGACAAUGGGCGCAAGCCUGAUCCAGCCAUACCGCGUGGGUGAAGAAGGCCUUCGGGUUGUAAAGCCCUUUUGUUGGGAAAGAAAUCCAGCUGGCUAAUACCCGGUUGGGAUGACGGUACCCAAAGAAUAAGCACCGGCUAACUUCGUGCCAGCCGCCGCGGUAA